AACGAACGCUGGCGGCAUGCCUAACACAUGCAAGUCGAACGAGACCUUCGGGUCUAGUGGCGCACGGGUGCGUAACGCGUGGGAACCUGCCUUUAGGUUCGGAAUAACUCAGAGAAAUUUGAGCUAAUACCGGAUGAUGUCUUCGGACCAAAGAUUUAUCGCCUUUAGAUGGGCCCGCGUUGGAUUAGCUAGUUGGUGGGGUAAAGGCCUACCAAGGCGACGAUCCAUAGCUGGUCUGAGAGGAUGAUCAGCCACACUGGGACUGAGACACGGCCCAGAAUCCGACGGGAGGCAGCAGUGGGGAAUAUUGGAAAAUGGGCGAAAGCCUGAUCCAGCAAUGCCGCGUGAGUGAUGAAGGCCUUAGGGUUGUAAAGCUCUUUUACCCGAGAUGAUAAUGACAGUAUCGGGAGAAUAAGCUCCGGCUAACUCCGUG
rnacentral:rRNA from 1 species